UUCUCUUCAAAUCCUGUUUUCCCAGAUUUAUGAGACAUGCUACACGGGGUGGUGACUCUUUCUGAAGCCUCCAUUUGCGCUCAGUGCCGUUUCUCGAGGAAGGGAAGGUCUGAGAAGUCGGAGUGUGAAACUCGGAGCGGUCUUAGAGUAGCCUAGUGUAAAUAAUAAAUAGGAGGAAAUACAUCAUUCACUCUUCGUCUGGGAGCCAAGGCCGUGCUGCCAAAGGAUGUGACGGCAGCCAUGGCAACCCUUAAUGGGCCUAUACAUCGGGGAUGGGACCCGGGAGAGGUGUGAAGCUCAACACAUGAUAUCCUGCCUCAGCACCGAAGGCCCAGCAACCCUGCAUUAUUUAAGACAUGGAGCGGCCAUGUUGACUGCUCUCUGUUAGAAUCCUCAUUUUGCCCAGCUGAAACAAGGGCAUUUUUAUGGACAAUUUUAUUGCCAUAUCCUCAAGAAGGCAACAUAACAUUUAAAUCAAUUAUGAAUCGCAAUUACUGUAAACAUAGCUGAAUGAAAGCAGACGUUAGUUA